CCCGAACCGACGGGGCCGGUCACUCCGGCCCCUUCAAAUCCACUCCGCUGGACACACCUAAGGACUUCAGAGGCGCCCGACGUAAAGAAAGCGGCCGCCAACCCUUCCGGGUAGGGAUCAAAGAUGACCUGCAGGCUUAAUGCAAAGGAAAGCCUCGGGAAAAGCGUCUGAAGCUAAAAGGAGCAGCGUGUGGCACUGAAAUUCUAAACUAAGUUGGCAAACUGAAAUUCACUCAGUGGUGGUGGGGACUUACGGUUCAAACGAAACCACCGGCCAAAGGCAGCCCAGGGAAAGAGCUUGAGAAAGGUUCCUAAGCCAAGAAAACUGGCUCCUCUGGACUCCCCAGUGCGUUCGGUGGGAAACCGCCCCGGCAGUGGUCGGGGGGUGGGGGGGAGGACGGGAGCGGCGUAGUCGUGAACCCCACCCCGGGUGAUUACCUCGCCAUUGGUGAUGUUGAUCGCCAGAUAGAUGUCCCCGAAGGAGCCAGACCCGAUCUUCCGUACCAGUUUAUAUUUCCCUCCGACAAUGAAUUCGGCCUUGGAGCCGCUGCUGCUCGCCAUCCUGAGAGACGAAGACGGAGGCUGGGGCCAAGCCCCGACACCUCUUAGAAGAGGACAGAGGCCUCUGCGCUCGUCCCCUGAGCAAGGCUGCGGAGGAGGGCGGCAGGAAACGGAAAACGUUGGCUUUUGGCGUCACAGGGCCCCAGAAUCCGCCAAGGGGAACCCGAUCACCGCUGCUCUGUCCGAUUUUUUUU